GGGUUGUGAGGUUAAGCGACUAAGCGUACACGGUGGAUGCCCUGGCAGUCAGAGGCGAUGAAGGACGUGCUAAUCUGCGAAAAGCGUCGGUAAGGUGAUAUGAACCGUUAUAACCGGCGAUGUCCGAAUGGGGAAACCCAGUGUGAUUCGUCACACUAUCGUUAACUGAAUACAUAGGUUAACGAGGCGAACCGGGGGAACUGAAACAUCUAAGUACCCCGAGGAAAAGAAAUCAACCGAGAUUCCCCCAGUAGCGGCGAGCGAACGGGGAGCAGCCCAGAGUCUGAAUCAGCUUGUGUGUUAGUGGAACGGUCUGGAAAGUCCGACGGUACAGGGUGAUAGUCCCGUACACCAAAAUGCACAGGCUGUGAACUCGAAGAGUAGGGCGGGACACGUGGUAUCCUGUCUGAAUAUGGGGGGACCAUCCUCCAAGGCUAAAUACUCCUGACUGACCGAUAGUGAACCAGUACCGUGAGGGAAAGGCGAAAAGAACCCCGGCGAGGGGAGUGAAAAAGAACCUGAAACCGUGUACGUACAAGCAGUGGGAGCACCUUCGGGUGUGACUGCGUACCUUUUGUAUAAUGGGUCAGCGACUUAUAUUCUGUAGCAAGGUUAACCGUAUAGGGGAGCCGCAGGGAAACCGAGUCUUAACUGGGCGUUAAGUUGCAGGGUAUAGACCCGAAACCCGGUGAUCUAGCCAUGGGCAGGUUGAAGGUUGGGUAACACUAACUGGAGGACCGAACCGACUAAUGUUGAAAAAUUAGCGGAUGACUUGUGGCUGGGGGUGAAAGGCCAAUCAAACCGGGAGAUAGCUGGUUCUCCCCGAAAGCUAUUUAGGUAGCGCCUCGUGAAUUCAUCUUCGGGGGUAGAGCACUGUUUCGGCUAGGGGGUCAUCCCGACUUACCAACCCGAUGCAAACUACGAAUACCGAAGAAUGUUAUCACGGGAGACACACGGCGGGUGCUAACGUCCGUCGUGAAGAGGGAAACAACCCAGACCGCCAGCUAAGGUCCCAAAGUCAUGGUUAAGUGGGAAACGAUGUGGGAAGGCACAGACAGCCAGGAUGUUGGCUUAGAAGCAGCCAUCAUUUAAAGAAAGCGUAAUAGCUCACUGGUCGAGUCGGCCUGCGCGGAAGAUGUAACGGGGCUAAACCAUGCACCGAAGCUGCGGCAGCGACACUAUGUGUUGUUGGGUAGGGGAGCGUUCUGUAAGCCUGCGAAGGUGUGCUGUGAGGCAUGCUGGAGGUAUCAGAAGUGCGAAUGCUGACAUAAGUAACGAUAAAGCGGGUGAAAAGCCCGCUCGCCGGAAGACCAAGGGUUCCUGUCCAACGUUAAUCGGGGCAGGGUGAGUCGACCCCUAAGGCGAGGCCGAAAGGCGUAGUCGAUGGGAAACAGGUUAAUAUUCCUGUACUUGGUGUUACUGCGAAGGGGGACGGAGAAGGCUAUGUUAGCCGGGCGACGGUUGUCCCGGUUUAAGCAUGUAGGCUGGUUGUCCAGGCAAAUCCGGAUAAUCAAGGCUGAGGUGUGAUGACGAGGUACUACGGUGCUGAAGUAACAAAUGCCCUGCUUCCAGGAAAAGCCUCUAAGCAUCAGGUAACAUCAAAUCGUACCCCAAACCGACACAGGUGGUCAGGUAGAGAAUACCAAGGCGCUUGAGAGAACUCGGGUGAAGGAACUAGGCAAAAUGGUGCCGUAACUUCGGGAGAAGGCACGCUGGUGUGUAGGUGAAGUCCCUGCGGAUGGAGCUGAGACCAGUCGAAGAUACCAGCUGGCUGCAACUGUUUAUUAAAAACACAGCACUGUGCAAACACGAAAGUGGACGUAUACGGUGUGACGCCUGCCCGGUGCCGGAAGGUUAAUUGAUGGGGUUAUCCGUAAGGAGAAGCUCUUGAUCGAAGCCCCGGUAAACGGCGGCCGUAACUAUAACGGUCCUAAGGUAGCGAAAUUCCUUGUCGGGUAAGUUCCGACCUGCACGAAUGGCGUAAUGAUGGCCAGGCUGUCUCCACCCGAGACUCAGUGAAAUUGAACUCGCUGUGAAGAUGCAGUGUACCCGCGGCAAGACGGAAAGACCCCGUGAACCUUUACUAUAGCUUGACACUGAACAUUGAGCCUUGAUGUGUAGGAUAGGUGGGAGGCUUUGAAGCGUGGACGCCAGUCUGCGUGGAGCCAACCUUGAAAUACCACCCUUUAAUGUUUGAUGUUCUAACGUUGGCCCCUUACCGGGGUUGCGGACAGUGUCUGGUGGGUAGUUUGACUGGGGCGGUCUCCUCCCAAAGCGUAACGGAGGAGCACGAAGGUUAGCUAAUCCUGGUCGGACAUCAGGAGGUUAGUGCAAUGGCAUAAGCUAGCUUGACUGCGAGCGUGACGGCGCGAGCAGGUGCGAAAGCAGGUCAUAGUGAUCCGGUGGUUCUGAAUGGAAGGGCCAUCGCUCAACGGAUAAAAGGUACUCCGGGGAUAACAGGCUGAUACCGCCCAAGAGUUCAUAUCGACGGCGGUGUUUGGCACCUCGAUGUCGGCUCAUCACAUCCUGGGGCUGAAGUAGGUCCCAAGGGUAUGGCUGUUCGCCAUUUAAAGUGGUACGCGAGCUGGGUUUAGAACGUCGUGAGACAGUUCGGUCCCUAUCUGCCGUGGGCGCUGGAGAAUUGAGGGGGGCUGCUCCUAGUACGAGAGGACCGGAGUGGACGCAUCACUGGUGUUCGGGUUGUCAUGCCAAUGGCACUGCCCGGUAGCUAAAUGCGGAAGAGAUAAGUGCUGAAAGCAUCUAAGCACGAAACUUGCCCCGAGAUGAGUUCUCCCUGAGACUUUAAGUCUCCUGAAGGAACGUUGAAGACGACGACGUUGAUAGGCCGGGUGUGUAAGCGCAGCGAUGCGUUGAGCUAACCGGUACUAAUGAACCGUGAGGCUUAACCUUACAACGCCGAAG
rnacentral:rRNA from 1 species